UUUCCGUAGGUGAACCUGCGGAAGGAUCAUUCAUAAUAAAGUGUUUUAUGGCACUUUUUAAAAAUCCAUAUCCACCUUGUGUACAAUGUUAGAUCUCGUCAAUUUUGGCGGGAUUUUUAUACAUCAACUCAUUCUUUAACUAAUUUGUCUGAAAAAUAUUAUGAAUACUUAAUUCAAAAUACAACUUUCAACAACGGAUCUCUUGGCUCUC
rnacentral:misc_RNA from 1 species